CUCUCCGGCCGGCAGCUGCCUCCCGCUGCAGGCAAGAGAGCGCCUGCCUCGCCGCGCGGAGGACAGCCGAGCGACCGGAGUGACAGCAAAGGAAAGGCGGAGAGCAGGAGAAAGAAGCGUCUGCGCUGGCAAGCUCUCCCGGCAGCGCCGAGAGCCAGAGCUGCGGUGCUGCUGCGCCGAUGCUCCGUACGUUCGCAGUAACGGGUAGAGCGGAAGGCUCCGUGGCCAGGGAAGAGCGGCA